GGUCUUGACAUCCUUCUGACCGGCCUAGAGAUAGGCUUUCUCUUCGGAGCAGAAGUGACAGGUGGUGCAUGGUUGUCGUCAGCUCGUGUCGUGAGAUGUUGGGUUAAGUCCCGCAACGAGCGCCACCCCUAUUGUUAGUUGCCAUCAUUAAGUUGGGCACUCUAGCGAGACUGCCGGUAAUAAACCGGAGGAAGGUGGGGAUGACGUCAAAUCAUCAUGCCCCUUAUGACCUGGGCUACACACGUGCUACAAUGGUUGGUACAACGAGUCGCAAGCCGGUGACGGCAAGCUAAUCUCUUAAAGCCAAUCUCAGUUCGGAUUGUAGGCUGCAACUCGCCUACAUGAAGUCGGAAUCGCUAGUAAUCGCGGAUCAGCACGCCGCGGUGAAUACGUUCCCGGGCCUUGUACACCCCGCCCGUCACACCACGAGAGUUUGUAACACCCGAAGUCGGUGAGGUAACCUUUUAGGAGCCAGCCGCCUAAGGUGGGAUAGAUGAUUGGGGUGAAGUCGUAACAAGGUAGCCGUAUCGGAAGGUGCGGCUGGAUCACCUCCUUUCUAAGGA
rnacentral:rRNA from 1 species